rnacentral:siRNA from 1 species
CCAUGUAAACCAAUUAGGUCAA